UCCCUCGUUGUCUAACGGUUAGGAUAUAGGAUUCUCAUUCCUGGGGUCCGGGUUCGAUUCCCGGCGAGGGAA